rnacentral:rRNA from 1 species
AAUGAACGUUGGCGGCGUGGAUUAGGCAUGCAAGUCGAGCGAGAACUUUUGAAAUUGACACUUCGGUUGACGUUUCAAAAGGGACAGCGGCGCAAGGGAGAGUAACGCGUAGUUACCUGCCCUAGGGUCCGGGAUAGCCGUGGGAAACCGUGGGUAAUACCGGAUGAUAUCUCCGGAUCAAAGGUGAGAUUCCGCCCUAGGAGGGGACUGCGCCCUACUAGCUUGUUGGUGGGGUAAUGGCCUACCAAGGCUUUGAUGGGUAGCGGGCGUGAGAGCGUGGCCCGUCUCACUGGGACUGAGACACUGCCCAGACACCUACGGGUGGCUGCAGUCGAGAAUCUUCGGCAAUGGGCGCAAGCCCGACCGAGCGACGCCGCGUGCGGGAUGAAGGCCUUCGGGUUGUAAACCGCUGUCAGUUGGGAGGAAGGCUCCGUGAAGAGCGGAGUUUGACCAAUCUUCAGAGGAAGACCGGGCUAAGUUCGUGCCAGCCGCCGCGGUAA